rnacentral:rRNA from 1 species
GUUAUCACCAACUGUGAACUCGUUUUCAACACAUCUCCUUGAUUGAAUGAGCGCAUGAAUCGUGUCGCAAGAUACGAUUGUAGCGUUUGAUCAGUCGAGCAAACAACAACAAAUUAACAAAUUUCACCCCCUUUUUGCUAGUUGACUUUUAUAUGUUGUACGAAUUACAAAGACUUCAUUGUCUCUGCAGCUCGCACACACGUUUAUCUAUUUGAACGUUAAAAUUACAACUCUUAGCAAUGGAUAUCUUGGUUCUCGCAACAAUGAAGAACGCAGCGAAAUGCGAUACGUAAUGCGAAUUGCAGAAUUCAGUGAAUCAUCAAAUCUUUGAACGCAAAUUGCGCUCUUGGGUAGCCCUAGGAGCACGCCUCUCUCAGUAUCGGUUCAACAACCUCUCAGCAGCGUAUUCAUUUACGCGUUGGCUGGAUAAUGAGAGUCUGAGUCUUCGCGCUCAGUCUCUUGAAAUACAUCGAGCGAGUAUCAUCACAUGCCUACGCAUUUGUCAGAAUUUAUUCUGACAAGCCAAGUCUCUGACUGGUCUGCACAAGUAGCGAGUGACGUGAAUACUGACCCUUGUGGUCUCACAUUUACGUGUAACUUCUCUUGGGCUGGACAAUCUAUAAAGGUCUAGGACUUCGGUGUCGUUUGGGAGCAGGUGUACUCGCGUUAAGCGGCGCAAGCUGCAAUCGGCUUUACUACUUUCGGGUAAUGGAGUCUGAAUUUUGAUCUGAGAUGAAGCGAGACAACCCCCUGAAUUUAAGCAUAUUAAUAAGGGGAGGAAAAGAAACUAACAAGGAUUCCCCCAGUAACGGCGAGUGAAGCGGGAAGAGCUCAAUUUGAAAAUCGUCUACCUAAGCGGGUCGACGAGUUGUAGCCUAGAGACGUACUAUCAGCUGAAACCUGGGUAUAAGUUCUUUGG